rnacentral:tRNA from 1 species
GACAAUUUGGCCGAGUAGUCUAAGGCGUCGAAAUUAGGCUUUAGUCCAAAAGGGCAGGGCAUGGGUUCAAAUCCCACAAUUGUCA